UACGAAGGAUUCGAGCGUUAUCCGGAUUUAUUGGGUUUAAAGGGUCCGUAGGCGGCUUUUUAAGUCAGUGGUGAAAUCCCAGAGCUCAACUCUGGAACUGCCAUUGAAACUGAAGAGCUUGAAUAUGGUUGAGGUAGGCGGAAUACGUUAUGUAGCGGUGAAAUGCAUAGAUAUAACGUAGAACACCAAUUGCGAAGGCAGCUUACUAAGCCAUUAUUGACGCUGAUGGACGAAAGCAUAGGGAGCGAACAGG
rnacentral:rRNA from 1 species